AUUGAACGUUGGCGGCAGGCCUAAUACAUGCAAGUCGAACGGCAGCACAGAGAGCUUGCUCUUGGGUGGCGAGUGGCGGACGGGUGAGUAACGCGUAGGAAUCUACCCAGUAGCGGGGGAUAGCCCGGGGAAACUCGGAUUAAUACCGCAUACGCCCCACGGGGGAAAGGCCGGGAUCUUCGGACCGGGUCACUAUUGGAGGAGCCUGCGUUGGAUUAGCUUGUUGGUGGGGUAAAGGCCUACCAAGGCUACGAUCCAUAGCUGGUCUGAGAGGACGAUCAGCCACACUGGAACUGAGACACGGUCCAGACUCCUACGGGAGGCAGCAGUAGGGAAUAUUGUGCAAUGGGCAAAGCCUGACACAGCCAUGCCGCGUGUGUGAACGAAGGCCCUAGGGUUGUAAAGCACUUUCAGUAGGGAGGAAUUAGUAGGGUUAAUAACCUUAUGAAAUGACGUUACUACAGAAGAAGUACCGG
rnacentral:rRNA from 1 species